rnacentral:rRNA from 1 species
UACGUAGGGACCGAGCGUUGUCCGGAAUCAUUGGGCGUAAAGAGCGUGUAGGCGGCUAUUUAAGUCCUGCGUGAAAUCCUGCGGCUCAACCGCAGACGGUCGUGGGAAACUGGAUGGCUAGAGUGCGGGAGAGGAGAGUGGAAUUCCCGGUGUAGCGGUGAAAUGCGCAGAUAUCGGGAAGAACACCCGUGGCGAAGGCGGCUCUCUGGAACGCAACUGACGAUGAGACGCGAAAGCGUGGGGAGCAAACAGG